UUAGGGUUUAAAGCGCUCUGGAACUGGUCUUUCAAUGGCGAACCCUAAAUCCGUCGAUCCGUCUCUCUGGUGGGAUCCUUUUGACUCUCUUCUCACCGACCUUCUCUCUCUGAUGACCUUUCUCAACCCAUCGUGAAGAAGUUGGAGGAAAACCACGUGUGAUUCGUCGGAACUGUGUCGAUGUUCAAGUCACCGAGUGAGAAAUCAGAAGAAGCUUUGAAUUCGUAUGUAGUCAAGAUUAAGGAGCACCAGUUGGUGAAAGAUAAAGCGCUUCGAAUCAGCUCUCAUCUGGAUCUAGAUGAAAUCCAAUCUUAUAUCCUCGUGGAAAGAUCUAUGGAUCAGGAUUAUGGAACUACCGACUCCGUUGCUCAAGAAUUCAUUGACGUGUAAGUUCUAUAGUGAAAUGUUGUUAUCCUCGUGGAAAGAUCUUGCCUACUCUUUUGCUGUCCUUCUGUUCCAAUGCUAUUCUUGAAGAUACUGCUUCAGUAUUACGUAGAGCGCCAGUGCCUACUAAAGUGUACAAAGUGUAUUCUCAUACAUUCCUAAAUUUACCAUGCAACUUUUGGAAGGGAGACUAGAAAAUGAUGUAGUUUUUGGUCUAGUCGUUUUCUCGCUACAGUAUAUUCUUGCUAGUCAUGAGUAUUGGAAAUACAAUCAUGGAAAUAUGCGUUGGAAAGUGACACUAAAGGUCCUUGAGUUGAUGAAAACAUGUCUCAGAUUCAGUAAGUUGUCCACAAAGCUGAGGGAUGUUCUCCUUGAUAUUUUGCUGCAUGAUGCCUCUGUUCACGGUGCACUGUUCCGGAUCGUAUGUACGACUACACAAACUUCAGAGAACCUUUGUUCAAGCCGUUUUGUUGAACCCGCAGAGAUUGAAGGAUGGCAACUUGCUAUAGUCUCCGUUUUGGAUGUUUUGAACGCCACACUCUCCCAAUUUUUUGAGGCAUUGUAGAAUUUGAUAGUUUGCGAUAAUUCUGCUCUCCCUGUAUUUAACCAAGCCAUGCUGUCAUCUACAACAAAACCAAUCUCAGUUGUUGCAGCUAUUCCUGUAUGGACUUCAUCCAAAUUCGUAGAAGUUGAGGCUUUGACCAAUCACAUGUCUGAAAACCAAGUAUUUCCUUCAGACGAUACAGGUUUCUGCUGCUAAAGUACUGUCAAAGUUAUUUGCCUAAGCAGAUUCAUUACAACUCUAUAUAGUAAGCAAUGCAGGCUUUGGUCUAGACAAUAAACAGAUUACAGUUUUAAGAAAUUCAGUUACCGAGAUCGUACUUGAUCUAUCGGGACAAAAUGAAGAUCUAGUCGUGUCCACCUUGAAACUACUAUCUGUGGCGGCAAGAUAUCAGCCUGCUCUUUUAGUUGCCAUAUUUGAUUCAAACGAAGACUCAGAUGCUGGCAACAUAAAACAGUUCGGCAAAGAUGCCUCCUCAUUUCCUGACUGGGCUUAUAAAUCUCGCUUAUUGCACACUAUCCUGCAAUACGUAGAGAGAGCAACCGAUUUUGUCGAUAGAUACACAAAAAUAUUACUUGAUAUCCUGAAAACCCUUUGGCAAGGGGCUGGCCAAUACGCGAAUAUGCUGGAACACGAAUAUGCUGGAACAGUUUAAGGCAUCAAAAUAGUUGUGGCAGCAAUUUUCCAACAUUAUAUCACAGGCGUCUAAGCUAAAAGAUUCGAUGGUUGGAAGUUUAGGCAAGAAAGAAAUUUCUAAAUUGUUUUUGAAAUAUCAGUGUCAGUCUUCUGUUUUGGAAAUUAAGGCUUGCAACAUGUUUUUGUACAAGAAGUUGCUGUUUGCGGAGUCACUGACGAAUCCAUGUGUGGAGCCGAAAGAGAAGGUAUAUAAUGCAGUAUCUCCACCCAAAAUAACUUGGACAGCUGAUUCAGAUCCCAAAGAUAUCUUUUCAAAAUGCCUUAUCCGGUCAGUUUCUUCUUUAGAUGCCGAAAGUGAAAUAAACUUCCAAGCGAAGGUUGCUUAUUGUACAUGUGAUUGUGAAACUGGAAGCAUCUGGCGCUGGAGCAUUGUCUAUGGUUUUAAUUGGGAAGAUCAAACUCAUAUCAGAAAUUUGGAGAAAAGGAGUUGAUGCCUAUGAUUUUCAGCGAUCUAUACUGUCAUCUACAAGGAAAACUUGAGAGUCGUAACAUCCCAACUGGUCCAUUCAAAGAGCUUUUCCAGUUUCUGUUUGGGAGAUAUAUAAACAGAAAACUAAUGAGGACCUAAGUAUGGCUUUGGGGCACUGUUUGUUCGACACUCAGCAAAUAAGGGCUGAAUUAGGUAUUGAUAUUUGGGAUAUCUCUGAGUGGAAGUCAUCUAAAACAACAACAGAGGAAAUGUUGAGCUACAUGCAGAGAGAAAACUCCAUGGUUUUACUCUCAACUUCGCAGCUCUCUGUUUUGCAUGCAUUGAUUUCCGUCUUGAUACUUCACGCGGAUAAUUCUCUUGAAGAAACUGCAGCUGUUGAAAGGAAAAUGCCUUCUCGAGUCACUCUUUCAAGCAUUGAUGGAGUGUCUCAAAAAUUCUACACCACAGUUGAUUCACUUGCCUCUCUCUUGGGAUGCGCCAAACAAUUGUGUGAUAAAAAUCUUAAUUUACGUACCUCUUAACUAGUAGAGUUAAUUAUGGGAUAAGCAUUUUUUUGGAUGGGUAUUGUUUAAUAGGGACUUUCUGUCCGUGAUUAUAGAUUUAGGCUUUUUUUUACUACUAAAUGACGAAACUAUCCUGCUCACAAAUGACACCAACUCUCUCUCUCCUGCUGUUCUCUCUCGCCUCUCCCACAAUCGGAUAAAAAUUUCAGCUCUUAAACUACUUUCAAAGAAGAUAAUCAUUUGGAUCUUUGUCCACGCCGGAAAAAUCUUCAGAGAAUAUAGCUUAUCCCCAUCUUCUAUUCUCUCUCUCGCCUCUACUGCAAUUGUUUUUUUUUUCUUGGUCUCUACAAUGAAUGAUGGAAAUUGGUUGAUGAGGAAUCUAAUCUAUGAUGGUGAUGAUGAUAGUCGAUGUUGGCAAUGGCAAGGUGUCGAUGUUGGCAAGGAGUCGAUGAUGGAGUCGCUGUUAUCAAUCAUAAAUAUGUAAUUUUGAAAUUUAUAUUAGAUCUGAAAAUGUAUUGGAAGUUUUGAUUCACUUUGUAAACAAUCACAUAAAAAAUUGAGUUUGUUGUUAUAGUUUCAUAAAAAAAGU